CCUACGGGAGGCAGCAGUGAGGAAUAUUGGUCAAUGGACGAGAGUCUGAACCAGCCAAGUAGCGUGAAGGAUGACUGCCCUAUGGGUUGUAAACCUCUUUUAUAUGGGAAUAAAAUGUUCCACGUGUGGGAUUUUGUAUGUACCAUAUGAAUAAGGAUCGGCUAACUCCGUGCCAGCAGCCGCGGUAAUACGGAGGAUCCGAGCGUUAUCCGGAUUUAUUGGGUUUAAAGGGAGCGUAGGUGGAUUGUUAAGGCAGUUGUGAAAGUUUGCGGCUCAACCGUAAAAUUGCAGUUGAAACUGGCAGUCUUGAGUACGGUAGAGGUGGGCGGAAUUCGUGGUGUAGCGGUGAAAUGCUUAGAUAUCACGAAGAACUCCGAUUGCGAAGGCAGUUCACUGGACUGCAACUGACACUGAGGCUCGAAAGUGUGGGUAUCAAACAGGAUUAGAUACCCCAGUAGUC
rnacentral:rRNA from 1 species